GGAGCUAGCACAGGUGCUGCAUGGCUGUCGUCAGCUCGUGUCGUGAGAUGUCGGUUAAGUCCGCUAACGAGCGCAACCCUCGCUGUGUGUUACAAGUGUCACACAGGACCGCCGGUCUUAAGCCGGAGGAAGGUGGGGAUGACGUCAAGUCAGCAUGGCCUUUAUGUCCAGGGCUACACACACGCUACAAUGGUCAGCACAAUAGGUAGCCAAGCCGCGAGGUGGAGCCAAUCCUCAAAGCUGGCCUCAGUUCAGAUCGCAGGCUGCAACCCGCCUGCGUGAAGCCGGAGUUGCUAGUAACCGCAGGUCAGCUAUACUGCGGUGAAUACGUUCCCGGGGCUU
rnacentral:rRNA from 1 species